rnacentral:lncRNA from 1 species
UCCUGACCAGAGUCCCUGCUGUUCCUGAGACACUGCUGUGCACCUGGGGCUGGUGCCCACCUUUCCAGGGAGACCCUCUCCCAACCGGAAGUAAAAUCGCAUUGGAAAGUGGGGGUGGGUGAGGCCUCCUACUCCUGGCAGAUGGGGUGCCUCCUGAGGACUUGGCUCAAGGCUGAGAAUGGAUGGAAGUGUCCGUGAGUGAGGCUCCAGAACAACUGGGUGAGCCCAGCAGAGAUGCCAGCUCCGGCCAGGUUGUCUCUGCAGCUGAAGAAUGGGGACGCUAGCUGUGGCUCCCAAAAACCCACGAACCCAACAUGAGUGCCCGCCCCACGGACCCAACUGAGUACCUGCCCCACGGACCGAGCCUCAGCCAGGCCCAGCAGGACUUGUGAGGAUUCUUUCCAGCUGUGCUCAAGUUACUCCUCCCAACGUACAUGGGGGAGACAGAUCCGAGAGGUUAAGCAACUGGCCCAAGGGUAGGCAGUGGGUGGGUGGGUUUGAACCAGAGCCCCAGGGCUCUUCUGAGCUGAGGUGGGAGGCAGCGGCUGGUGGCCCCGUGGCUGACUCUUCCUGCUCUGACCUCAGUUUCCCCAUCUCUAGACGGGUCUCCUGAGGAGGGGGCGGGACCUAGGCCGCAUGGGUGAGCCCAGCCAGGGGAAUGGGGCCGCCACUACAGGCACAGCACUGGGACAAGGACUAAUUUAUUCAGGCAAACAAGACUGCACACGCCAUUUCCAGAACAAACACGCUGUGCUGGGAUUCAAUUUCACCCCCAGGCAUCUGCGAGGAACCAAAUGAGAAGUUCCAGCCAUUGCAUAUUUAUAUGAUUGAAAGGUCCACAUGGGUCUUAAAGCCCUCCGAUUACACCCCAUGGGGAUGGAAGCAGUGGGGGACCGAGGACCAGGCAGAGCUUGGCGCUGCUGGCUGAGCCAACCCCACAGAGUGGGGAACCUGGCUGAGGGGAGCCCGGUGGGUCUGGCCAGGGUCCAGGGCCUUUUGGGGGUGCCUGGGGAGGGAGAGCUGGGGUUUGGAAUCCACAGGCCUGGGGCCAAGUCCUGCCUCUGCCCAGCUUGCCAGCGGUUGUGUGUGCUCUGAGCCUCAGUUUACCCAUAUGGAGAAGGGGGUGCCAGCAUGACGUUCCCUCGGGCUCGUGCCGUGAGG